UCUGUGUGACCAUUUCUUUGUGGGAGGAUGGCGAUAAGAAAAGGAGAGAUGACACUCAUCUCUGUAGUCUCGAGGUCUUGAGAAAAUCGCCCGCAAGUCAUAGGCCGGGGUUUGUUUGGUCUGCGAGAUUACUUGUGGGUGAUGCUAUCUGCAAGAAAUGAGCUUUUCUUCAUUCCACUUUAAUAUACUGGACUUCCACCAUUAGACGACAUGGCUGUGUGAUACUGCUCCUCCAGUGUAGUCUUGUUCUGUGUUCUGUUGGCUAUGGCACCCAUUUUAGCCCCGUUUAUACGUGGUGUUAACAGGUGUAGACAAAUUCAAAGACGCAUUGUGAUCUGGUUUCGAUCAGAUCUUAUAAGUGUGUAAAUGGACAAGAUCAGGACAAAGGAUGCAUUUUAGCAGCAGGUUUAAACCUGACUGUUGAAACACAAUACCGCAAAUGUAUUUAAUCUGCAUUGUUGUGCUGUGUAGCAGAUGGCAGAGAGGAGGUGCUUAUCAUCCUAGAAAACCAAGACACAUGUUUACAUUUGGUAACACUUGGAUAGUGUUUAAAGCAGGGCUCUCCAACCAUGUUCCUGGAGAGCUACCCUCAUAUAGGUUUUCACACCAACCUCAUUUGUAACUAACCUGAUUCAGUUUAUCAACCAGCUAAUUAUUAGAAUCAGGUGUAAUAGUUUAGGCUUGGAGUGAAAAUUUAAGGGACGGUAGCUCUCCAGGAGCAAGGUUGGAGAACCCUGGUUUAAAGUAUAGAUACUUCUGUAUCACUUCACAUUAGGUUGCUCUUGUACCUGUGUAGUGAUGAUGUAAUUAUAGCGUCUGUUAGUUGGUUUGAUUGCAUAAUAACUGAAUGUUCUUUAUUCCACGUAACUCCAUUAUGAUGCAAUUACAAAGCAAUUAAUAAGUUACUAUGUACCAAUAUGUUAAAGGACAAUACUGCCAAAUUUCAACCUCAUAUUCAUUAUCUCCAGCACAAUACUAGUGUCUACAAAUGUAAAAACUGUGUGUUUCUAUGAUCUGUGGUUAAAAAUAUGACAGGGUAGGAUUGAAAGUAAGAAAAACAUUAUUUCAUUAUGAAAAUUAGAUUUAAAAAUGGUGGAGUUGCCCUUUAAUACAAUGUUGUUACAAUAGUAAUUGCAUUGUUUAAGAGUAAUGUAAUGUUAAAGGGCAAUUCCACCACUUUUCAACCUCAUUUUCAUUAUAUCCAACACAAUACCAGUGUCUACAAUUGUGAAAAUUGCAUGUCUAUGUUAUGCAGAAAAAAAGGAAGUUAAAAAGAUCUACCCAAUGAACUCAUCAAAACAUUUUUAAAACAGUGAUUUUCAAACACUGUGAGAUUCGUGGUGACGUGGGGAGCGAGAAAAUACCCUCUGCCUAGAAACUAGUUGCAGAUUUUGGAAAUCGAAUUUUCUUACUUCUAAUCUUAUCCUAUGAUGUCACAAUAUAGGUUUCCACUAUGAUGUCACAAUAUAGGUUUCCACUAUGAUGUCACAAUAUAGGUUUCCACUAUGAUGUCACAAUAUAGGUUUCCACUAUGAUGUCACAAUAUAGGUUUCCACUAUGAUGUCACAAUAUAGGUUUCCACUAUGAUGUCACAAUAUAGGUUUCCACUAUGAUGUCACAAUAUAGGUUUCCACUAUGAUGUCACAAUAUAGGUUUCCACUAUGAUGUCACAAUAUAGGUUUCCACUAUGAUGUCACAAUAUAGGUUUCCACUAUGAUGACACAAUAUAGGUUUCCACUAUGAUGACACAAUAUAGGUUUCCACUAUGAUGACACAAUAUAGGUUUCCACUAUGAUGUCACAAUAUAGGUUUCCACUAUGAUGACACAAUAUAGGUUUCCACUAUGAUGACACAAUAUAGGUUUCCACUAUGAUGUCACAAUAUAGGUUUCCACUAUGAUGUCACAAUAUAGGUUUCCAUCCAAGAACAUAUGUGCAUUUUCCCACCAGUGGUGUUUCCACCAAAUGAUUGUGGAUAAAAAUCAGUGCGUGAUGACGCAGUGCACACCACAUGUACUGUUUCGCUCUCUAGUCAAUAGCUCACAGAUACAGUGCUGGUAGGCUGUGCGGGUACAUGUCUAGUCUACAUGAUGAGUUUAUUAUGGAGGGCGAGAAUAUUUUCUUUGUCAAUCAGCAGUCAAGCACCGACCAUCGUCAUCUCACCAGAAACAGACCCUGGAUAUUUAUUAGAAAGGAGCAUCAAGAUCACCGUGCAAUUUCAACACCCAGUGAUGUUCACCAUAAGCUGAUUUAUCUGUAGCUGAAUAAACUGCAUAGUUACCCAAGUUGUAGAGGGAGGACCACACACCAUAUCAGCGCGUGACUCCAAGUUACUUUGAUAUGAUGGUUACUAUACCAAUAUUUGCGCAAAAAAAUGCUUUUCCACCAUAAUUUCUUGCAUAAUGAAUUUUACCGACACAAAAAGAUCAAACCAUGUUGAACGAAUAAAUUACAUGUCGGCAUUUAUAACAUUAUACCAAAAUGUCCUUUUCCAUCACAGCUUCAGUGAUCGUUUUUUAUACGGUAUUAGACACCUGUAUGGUGCCGGAGACACUGAAUAUGCGGUUGAAAAUUGGCAGAAUUGCCCUUUCAGUGUUGCAGAUACUCCAUGAAAUGAGGUGUCAACUAGAACUCUGUCAAUGUCCAUAAAAAAUGAAUGUAUUGACUCAUCUGGUCGAUAUAAAAAUAUAAAAUAAAGGUCCACUAGGGUGCA